rnacentral:rRNA from 1 species
GGCCUACCAUGGUGGUAACGGGUAACGGGGUGUUAGGGCACGACACCGGAGAGGGAGCCUGAGAAACGGCUACCACAUCCAAGGAUGGCAGCAGGCGCGCAAAUUACCCAAUCCCGACACGGGGAGGUAGUGACAAUAAAUAACAAUACGGGGUUCUUUAGGAUCUCGUAAUUGGAAUGAGUACAAUUUAAAUCUCUUAACGAGGAACAAUUGGAGGGCAAGUCUGGUGCCAGCAGCCGCGGUAAUUCCAGCUCCAAUAGCGUAUAUUAAAGUUGUUGCAGUUAAAAAGCUCGUAGUUGAAUUUCGGGGUUAGUAGGUUGGUCAUGCCUCCGGUAUGUACUGAUCUCACUGAUUCCUCCUUCCUUAUGAACCGUAAUGCCAUUAAUUUGGUGUUGCGGGGAAUUUGGACUGUUACUUUGAAAAAAUUAGAGUGUUUAAAGCAGGCUAACGCUUGAAUACAUUAGCAUGGAAUAAUGAAAUAGGACGUUCGAUCUUAUUUUGUUGGUUUCUAGGAUUGACGUAAUGAUUAAUAGGGAUAGUUGGGGGCAUUAGUAUUCAAUUGUCAGAGGUGAAAUUCUUGGAUUUAUUGAAGACUAACUACUGCGAAAGCAUUUGCCAAGGAUGUUUUCAUUAAUCAAGAACGAAAGUUAGGGGAUCGAAGACGAUCAGAUACCGUCGUAGUCUUAACCAUAAACUAUGCCGACUAGGGAUCGGAUGAUGUUAAUUUUUUAAUGACUCAUUCGGCGCCUUACGGGAAACCAAAGUGUUUGGGUUC